rnacentral:rRNA from 1 species
GACGAACGCUGGCGGCGUGCUUAACGCAUGCAAGUCGAACGGAAAGGCCCUGCUUUUGUGGGGUGCUCGAGUGGCGAACGGGUGAGUAACACGUGAGUAACCUGCCCUUGACUUUGGGAUAACUUCAGGGAACUGGGGCUAAUACCGGAUAGGAGCUCCUGCUGCAUGGUGGGGGUUGGAAAGUUUCGGCGGUUGGGGAUGGACUCGCGGCUUAUCAGCUUGUUGGUGGGGUAGUGGCUUACCAAGGCUUUGACGGGUAGCCGGCCUGAGAGGGUGACCGGCCACAUUGGGACUGAGAUACGGCCCAGACUCCUACGGGAGGCAGCAGUGGGGAAUAUUGCACAAUGGGCGGAAGCCUGAUGCAGCAACGCCGCGUGCGGGAUGACGGCCUUCGGGUUGUAAACCGCUUUCGCCUGUGACGAAGCGUGAGUGACGGUAAUGGGUAAAGAAGCACCGGCUAACUACGUG